UCCAUCGUGAGGUGGAAUCUGAAGGAAGAACUAGGCAAACUGUUGACCCGAUGGUCACGAACCUCAAUUGAGGUGGGUAGAUGACAGGAAAGAUAUAUGU
rfam:Solobacterium moorei F0204 genomic scaffold Scfld67, whole genome shotgun sequence.